AGUCGAACGAAGUAGCAAUACUUAGUGGCAGACGGGUGAGUAACAUGUAGGUAUCUGCCCUUUGGCCUGGAAUAACACGAGGAAACUUGUGCUAAUACCGGAUAAGUCUUUACGGAGAAAGCUUUAUGCACCAUUGGAUGAGCCUGCACUUGAUUAGUUUGUUGGUGGGGUAAUGGCCUACCAAGACUGUGAUCAAUAGCUGAUUUGAGAGGAUGAUCAGCCACAUUGGGACUGAGACACGGCCCAAACUCCUACGGGAGGCAGCAGUGGGGAAUCUUGCACAAUGGAGGAAACUCUGAUGCAGCGAUGCCGCGUGAGUGAAGAAGGCCCUUGGGUUGUAAAGCUCUUUCGUCGGGGAAGAAAAUGACUGUACCCGAAUAAGAAGGUCCGGCUAACUUCGUGCCAGCAGCCGCGGUAAUACGAAGGGACCUAGCGUAGUUCGGAAUUACUGGGCUUAAAGAGUUCGUAGGUGGUUGAAAAAGUUAGUGGUGAAAUCCCAGAGCUUAACUCUGGAACUGCCAUUAAAACUUUUCAGCUAGAGUAUGAUAGAGGAAAGCAGAAUUUCUAGUGUAGAGGUGAAAUUCGUAGAUAUUAGAAAGAAUACCAAUUGCGAAGGCAGCUUUCUGGAUCAUUACUGACACUGAGGAACGAAAGCAUGGGUAGCGAAGAGGAUUAGAUACCCUCGUAGUCCAUGCCGUAAACGAUGUGUGUUAGACGUUGGAAAUUUAUUUUCAGUGUCGCAGCGAAAGCGAUAAACACACCGCCUGGGGAGUACGACCGCAAGGUUAAAACUCAAAUGAAUUGACGGGGACCCGCACAAGUAGUGG
rnacentral:rRNA from 1 species